rnacentral:rRNA from 1 species
UACGGAGGGCGCAAGCGUUGUUCGGAAUCACUGGGCGUAAAGCGCGUGUAGGCGGCUCGGCAAGUCGGGUGUGAAAUCCCGAGGCUCAACCUCGGAACUGCACUCGAAACUGCCGGGCUCGAGUCCCGGAGAGGGUGGCGGAAUUCCCGGUGUAGGGGUGAAAUCCGUAGAUAUCGGGAGGAACACCAGUGGCGAAGGCGGCCACCUGGACGGUGACUGACGCUGAGACGCGAAAGCGUGGGGAGCAAACAGG